AAACAUGGUAAGCGAUCGCUUCUUUGGAAGAGGAAAGUCCGAGCUGCAAUAAGACAAAGAUUCCAUCUAAUGGAUGGCUAGGGCAACCUAAGGGAAAGUGCAACAGAAAGAAAACUACCAUAUUUAUAUGGAAAAGGUGAAACGGUGGGGUAAGAGCCUACCAGUAACUUUGGCAACAAAGUUAGCUAUGUAAACCCAAUCUGCAGCAAGAAGGGGUGGUUUUAGUCUUAUGAUUUAACCCUUCGCUUGAACUUGUUUGCAAAAAUAAGUCUAGAUAAAUGAUCGCUCUUGACAGAACUCGGCUUAUCGCCAUGU
rnacentral:RNase_P_RNA from 2 species